rnacentral:rRNA from 1 species
UACGGAGGGUGCAAGCGUUAUCCGGAUUCACUGGGCUUGAAGGGUGCGUAGGUGGGUCUGUAAGUCAGCGGUGAAAUCUCUGGGCUUAACCCGGAAACUGCCAUUGAUACUAUAGAUCUUGAAUUGUCUGGAGGUAAGCGGAAUAUGUCAUGUAGCGGUGAAAUGCUUAGAUAUGACAUAGAACACCAAUUGCGAAAGCAGCUUACUACGGAUUGAUUGACACUGAGGCACGAAAGCGUGGGGAUCAAACAGG